UAGAUUUGAUCCUGGCUCAGGACGAACGCUGGCGGCGCGCUUAAAACAUGCAAGUCGAACGGAGUCUUGAGGAUUCGUCUUUAAGACUUAGUGGCGAACGGGUGAGUAACACGUGAGGAACCUGCCCUACACAGGGGGAUAACACUUAGAAAUAGGUGCUAAUACCGCAUAAGACCACGGAACCGCAUGAUUCUGAGGUCAAAGGAGCGAUCCGGUGAAGGAUGGCCUCGCGCCCGAUUAGCUUGUUGCGGGUAACGGCCCACCAAGGCGACGAUCGGUAGCCGGACUGAGAGGUUGGACGGCCACAUUGGGACUGAGACACGGCCCAGACUCCUACGGGAGGCAGCAGUUGGGAAUAUUGCACAAUGGGCGAAAGCCUGAUGCAGCGACGCCGCGUGAGGGAAGAAGGUUUCGGAUUGUAAACCUCUGUUCCGGGGACGAAAGAUGACGGUACCCGGAAGGAAGCUACGGCUAACUACGUGCC
rnacentral:rRNA from 1 species